AAGGCACAUGCGCAGAAGCAAGAUGCGUGUGUGAGCGAAGAAAGCGUGUGUGUGUGAUCCCAUUGCGAACCGGUAGUAAAGGAAGACAACAGAAGAAUGGUGGCAGAUUAUACUGACUGGAAACUAGAGGGGAAGAGAUGUGCUUAAAUCAGCCGGAACCAGCAUCUCCCUGAUCCCAUCUGCUGCAGGUCACCUGACCUCACCUUUUCUGUAAUAGGGGUUUUUUGCACUCGUAUCAGAAGCACAGAGGCACUUCCAGGUUGGAAGGAUUAGUCAGUGACAUCACUGUUGCCCUGGAAACAUCCAGUUGGGGGCUCCUUUCAUGUCUGUGGCAGGAGCUGGAGUGAAGGAUGGGAGCUCACCCUACCCCAUGGCAGCUCUCGGGUCUUGAACAUGGGUUUGCUAGCCUCCAAUCAGGUUAUGUCUGGCACAACUCUUCCAAAAGCCACAGAUACCUUGCAGCCAAACUACUGGACAUAUGAGCAAACAGUUCAUCUGCAGCAGAGUUUCUCUUCGGUGGAAGUGUGGCCAAUUAGUCACACGUUUGGUGUUCUAAUUAGGCAGCGACUAGCCCUUUUAGAAAAUGUGCUGUUGAUUUAGGUACUUCCUCAAACAAUGCUAAAUUGUGUUAUGUGAAAUUCAAUUAGACCUCCCCCUCUCCCUUAAAUGUUUCCACAUCUGUUAUUCUUUAAACAUAAAGUGAUGAGGAGAAAAGGAGAAGUGAAAAGCCAGAGACUCCAUUGGUGAAAUAUGUUAGACCUCAGGGACCAGCCCUUUUACCAGCUUUUGACCCUGAACAGUGAUACACAGGAAGGAACAAAGUUGGAGAGCUAUCAUGGUGAAACCUUUGAAAAUAAAUCAUUAUACCAAGAAAUGGUACAACUGUAUGAGGAUGUAAUCUCCACUGAUUGUUAUAAAAUUGUUUGAAAAUGAUGGUGUGAGAAAAGGAGUUUGAAAAACCAAGAGGCUUUGAAAAUUUGGUCUUAAGUGAAUGAAAUUAAGUAAAUGGAAAAAAACCGAAUUGGAUUUUUUAAAAAAAUAUUUUUAAAGUGAAAUGAUAAAACAUGGAUUUGAUACAACACCAUAUAUCAAUAAAUGCUACUGGGCAGUUUUUUUAAGAACAACAACAGUAAAGCAACAAAGCAAGGUGCAGCUUUAUUUUGAUGCUAAAACAAUCUAUUGUAUUUUAAGAAAAAAAUCUUGACAAAAUUGUCUGUAUCAUUUUGUCCCAGAUAUUUUUGCCAUUCAGCUUAACAAAUGUAUCAAUCCAUUAUAUUUUCUUAAAGUACAAAUGAUUCUUUAACAAAUAUCUAAACGUAUUUAAAAUAACUUUUGAGGAUUAUCUAGCAUAUUUAGGAAACCUUUUCUAUUGCAUAUGAUUGCCAGUCUUCUUCCCAAGUCCCAGACAAAGUACACAGAAGGCGACUUAAAUGUUCCCAGACACAAGUCUGAAUGUUGUCAAGACACAUAUCACUUAAAGCAAAACAGUUGCUCUUACAUUGUGACUCUAGUGAAACCUACUGCUGUCUAAAGGUGACGUUCUACAUGCAUUCAAUCCUUGUUACUGUUAUCACCUUUUCACGAACCAACAUUUCAGACCUUAUCUCCUAGGCUGGCAGGCUAUGCUUCAGGUUUGUCAGAGGCCGGCAUAGACUGUGUGCGGGGUUUUUUUUGAUGAUGUAUCUUGAUAAGAUUUGUAGAAGGUGAGAGAUGGAGUUGUCAGCACCAUUUUAUGGCACCUCUGUACAUGUCAGAAAAUGAAAAUAUUUUCAGAAGUGAUAGCAUUAUUUUGACUGGCGACAGGGACAUUUAGAACAAUAAAUCUGCAAGGGCAGCUCGAUUUAAACUCAAGUAAAAGGCUUGUCAGGGUGCAGAGUGUGUAGGAGGCAUAUAGAUUUUGACUGUGAGUGCAUUGUUUGGGAUAGACCUGAGACUUGUCAAGGGAAAUAUUUAAAUACAACAGUUGCAUUUCUAGUAAAGUUGUGCUCCUAAACAUCUCAGGCAUUUAGAGAUUGUAAUCGUAUUUGUCAGAAGCCUUGAAGAUGGUAUUAGAAGAUAAUUAAAUGCUCAGAACAACUGAAAAAAAUGUAUGCAGCUUCAUUCAGUUCAGAGAGAAUGCUUAAUAUAUUCAAAUAUGUUAUAGAGUGCAUGAUUAGGACAUCAAUUUUUCUAGAGAUAAGGCGGCAUAGCAAAAUAUAAUUAAGUAAAGGUGGUAUAUUUGAUAAUUAAAGGGCAACCAUGUUUGAGUUUAUGUUGGAACAAAUGGGGAAGACAUUACAAUUUUAACAGCCCUGUAAAUAAGCACCCUGCAAAUAUUGUUCAAGCCCUGAUCCAGGAGUAGCAACAAGUAUUUUGGUCUUCUGAUGCCAGAUGUGGAAAAGGGUUUUUCCUUUCUCUGCUAAUCCACUUGGUUUCUAUGUUGGAUAAAAAUCUCUAACAUUUUCCAGCUGCUGCCGUGCAAUUCUUUAUCUUCUAUGGCUACCAAAACAAUCAAUUCAAGCCGUAUAACAACAGAUUCUAUUGCUAAUUUAAUGUUUUUGAUAGAUUGAAUUCUUUCUAUUACUAUUACAUUUUUGUUACUAUUAUAUUAUAUUCUUUAUUUAUAAGCAGUUGCUAUGUUCAUUGAAUAUUCAAAAGAGUUUACAGUGUAACGCAAACAAGAAACUGAAUAAAAAGAUUUUACUGAA